GCCUCCAGCUUAGAAAGCGUGGAGCUGUAAACCUCUCAUCUUUGAGGCUUAGUGCUUUAAGCUCCUGGAUUUGGAA
rnacentral:miRNA from 1 species